rnacentral:rRNA from 1 species
UACGUAGGGGGCAAGCGUUGUCCGGAUUUAUUGGGCGUAAAGAGCGUGUAGGCGGCCUGAAAGGUCAGCUGUGAAAACUCGAGGCUCAACCUCGAGACGUCGGUUGAAACCAUCUGGCUAGAGUCCGGAAGAGGAGUGUGGAAUUCCCGGUGUAGCGGUGAAAUGCGCAGAUAUCGGGAAGAACACCCGUGGCGAAGGCGGCACUCUGGGACGGUACUGACACUGAGACGCGAAAGCGUGGGGAGCGAACAGG